rnacentral:tmRNA from 1 species
GGGGGUGUUUUGGUUUUGACAGCGUGAGCGUUGGACGGUAAGCAUGCCGGGCGUGGGAGCCUUGCCCGUAAAUCUCAGACUCCGAAAAAUCAGUUGCCAACAACAACUAUGCACUCGCUGCUUAAUUUGCCAAGCAAAUUAACUUAAUCCGCGACGCCAAGGCUGCGCCGCCGACGAGUAUCCCUCGGAACUUCCGCCUGGUAAGGGCCGACAAAGGGGUAUCAUCCCAACCAGGACGCUCCGGUGGACGCCUCUAAAGCCGGCUAAGACUUAAAGGCUAAGGAAGAGUUUGCCCGCCUUUCGGCUGGCUCUCCCCUACAAGCAAAGGAAGGAUAAGCAUGUAGAAAGCCGCCUGGCGGCACGUUUGGACAGCGGUUCGAGUCCGCUCACCUCCACU